UACGGGGGGGGCAAGCGUUGUUCGGAAUUACUGGGCGUAAAGGGCUCGUAGGUGGCCAACUAAGUCAGACGUGAAAUCCCUCGGCUUAACCGAGGAACUGCCCUCCAAACUGCUUGGCUUGAGUCCGGGAGAGGUGAGUGGAAUUCCCAGUGUAGCGGUGAAAUGCGUAGAUAUUGGGAGGAACACCAGUGGCGAAGGCGGCUCACUGGACCGGAACUGACGCUGAGGCGCGAAAGCGUGGGGAGCAAACGGG
rnacentral:rRNA from 2 species